GGUUACUGGAGCGAGUGGACGAGCUGGGUCUGCACCAAGAACUGUUCUGACGCUAACAUUUAUAGGGCCUGUGAUAACCCUGCACCGUCAAGUAGGGGAAAGAACUGCACCGGAACGACAUUGGACAAACUUCCGGAAAUUUGUCAUCUGAACAUGUCAUGCCCUGGCCUAUGUCCGGACUAUAAAUGGGGCGAGCACUGUGCGGGAGAUUGCCCCAAAUGCAUAGACGUUUGCGACAAGUACAGCGGUGAAUGCAGUAAUUGUCAAUCAGGCUACAAGGAUCCCAUAAAUUCUUGCAAA
rnacentral:sRNA from 1 species